GGUAGCCUGCUCGCAUACGUAUUAAAUACCGAUAUUUUAGUCUGCAUGGCCAUGGGCGUAGGAAGAUCGGUAUUUUGGGGGGGCUCAUAUUCAUAUAUUCAUCAGGCAAUCAAUUUCAAAAGAAGUAAAUGAUGCAGAACACGAAUAUAUGAAUAUGAGCCCCCCAAAAUAUCGAUCUUCCUACGCCCAUGGCCAUGCAGACUGAAAUAUCGAAAUUUAAUACGUAUGCGAGCAGGCUACCAUAGCAAAGACAGAUAAGUAGUUUAUGUUUGGUAUCGUAUUCUAUUCUAUUCUAUUCUAACUAUUGGGGUUUCUUUCGCUUUAAG
rnacentral:lncRNA from 1 species